GAUGAACGCUGGCGGCGUGCUUAAUACAUGCAAGUCGAGCGAAAAGACGAGGAGCUUGCUCCUCUGACGUUAGCGGCGGACGGGUGAGUAACACGUGGAUAACCUACCUAAAAGUCUGGGAUAACUACGGGAAACCGGAGCAUAUACCGGAGAAUAUAUUGAACCGCAUGGUGGAAUAGUGAGAGACGGUUUUGCUGGCACGUAUAGAUGGUUCUGAGCCGCAUGAGCUGGUCGGUACGGUAAAGGGCUACCAAGGGUACGAUGCGUACGCGACCUGAGAGGCUGGUCGGCCACCCUGGAACUUGACCGCGGUCCAGGCUCCUGCGGGACGCACCAGUAGGGAAUCUUCCGCAACAGGCGAGAGCCUGACGGAACAACGCCGCGUCAGUGAUGACCGUCUUCGGUUCGUAAAACUCUGUUAUUAGGGGUGAACAAAUGUGGAAGUUACUGUGCACUUCUUGACGGUACCUAAUCAAGAAGCAACGGCUAACUACGUG
rnacentral:rRNA from 1 species